UCGAUCCGCUCUUUGUGCGCUCUCCGCCUCCCACCGAACCGAAAAGGGCUCGAUCCCCAUAGGUGUUCGUGGAUCAGUUCCCCCGACAGUUUUUUUCUCGAAGAGUUGGUUCAACGUUGUGUUUUGUUCUUGGGGAUAAAUGUAAAACUGAACAAUAGAUUUUGAUUCCAUAUGCUCUGUUUUCCUUCCAAAAGUCUGUAGAUUAUUGAUACAACAAACUUAAUUUUAAUGGACGCAUAAAUAUAGUGCCAAUGUAUCAUAAUGAUAAAAAUGUUUGUUUUGGCGGCUUUUUUCGCUAUUUUCCUUUUACGACCAAAAGGUUGUAGUGAUGCAAGGACAUUUUGCCAUCUCAGUGGGAGCAAACGAUGGAAGGUUCCACCUGUUAUAAACAGCAAUUAUGUUUUGUUGAUCCCUACAUGGCCUCCUACAGCGUCAAGAAUCCCAUCUCUGUCAUCUAGCUUGCAAACAUGAAGAUUACCCUUUACAAGACUUCAGAAACAUCCAUAUAUGCGUGCCCUCUUUAUGCUAUGAUAUAAAUUCUAUGUUUAAUGGCAUUUUCACGAGUAUUUCACAUGAGCAUAUGAAAAGAGGAGGUGUUAAAACCGCUCAUAAUAUGGACCGUGAUCCUUUCACAUUCUUGUUCCCAUAAUAUGGACCCUGAUCCUUUCACACUCUUAUUCCCAUGAGCAUAUGAAAAGAGGAGGUGUUAAAACCGCUCAUUUCACACUCUUGUGAUUUCUUACUUCAAAUUGGGAUUCACUGCAUAAAACAAAAGCGACGUACAAAUAUGACGUAUCAACGGGGCGCGGCGUGCCGCCGCGCGGGUAUGGCUAGUUAGGAUUGUUCAAUAAGAAAUUAGUUCAUUGACUGUAAGCUAGGUUAUAUGGUACUCCCUCCUUUCAUCUAUAUAGGGUCUAAUGCGUUUUCCGAGGCUAACUUUGACUAAAUAUUAGAGCUAUAAUAUAUGACAUGCAAUUUACACAAAGCACACCGUUAAAUUCGUGUGUGAAAGUAGCUUUCAAUGAUAUAAUUUUCACAUUGUGCAUGUCAUGUACUAUUAAUCUUAUCAAUGGUCAAAGGUGGUCUUAGAAAAUGCAUUAGGCCCUAUAUAGAUGGAAGGAGGGAGUAUCUGUAAAUGUUUCGUUUUGUAGUUGAGAAUCAGACGGACGCUCGGGACAUUCAACCCUCGGCAAGAGCGUUAUACACAUAAGGCUGAAGAAUAUACCACUCCAACUGGUAUCUUUGCAACGGGUUCCUGUUCUGCUAAAUCAAAGAUAAUAAGGGCAUCUGCUAGACAUAAUUUUUUUUUACAAGGAGAUGGUGUGCAGUUAUUUUGUUCCUGUGAAUCUAUCUUAUGCCGAAGUAUGUAUGCAUGUGUGAAUUUUUUUUUGCAGUUUAUGAACGCUGAUGGGAAAGUGUACCGACAUGAGGUACUCCGUUCUGAAUAGGACAGACUCGGGAAGAGUCUAAUUAACAAGAGCAAGUAGUACUCCUUUUGGUUCUACAGUACGAUAGAUCUUUAUUUUCUGAUGUCGACAAGGUGGUUGAUGAAAAUUCAAACAGCUGCAACUGAGGAAAACCAGAGAAACAAAAACAGGUUAGGCAACAUCCAAGAAGCAAACUAAACGUUCAUGUAAUCUGUUGGCGAGAGCCUUAUUUAGUUUCAUGCAGACGGUGCCCCACUCUACCUUCCGGAGGUUUCCAUGCUAUGGAUUCACAACCAUGGGCGUGUCUCUUCCAUGUGCUGUAGAGCAGGUGGACGUGGAUUAGGGGCCAGACCGAGCUGGACGACGGGUGUUUUCGGAGACAGAGGAUAAGGCCAACGAUAGCAGCUACACAGUGGGGUCUGGCAGGAUCAAUAAGGUGACCUGCAGGGCUUGGAACAUCCGCGAGACAUGGCCGCACCAGGGGAGCGCGUCUUCGGAAAGAUGAAUACGCCAGGCCAAUAAUAUAGACCUAUUAGCAUUCUUCAAACUACUAUAUGUCUACUCUGCUUUAUAAAAGGAAACUCUUCUGCUGCACUUCUAUUUUAAUCAUUGUAUCUUAACUGCAAUGUUCGAAUAUUAACAAGUACAUCAGUAUAACUGAUGCACAGAGUGACGCAGAGGAGGCGCGCCCCAACCAUUAGUGUUGAGUAAGAGUGUAGGACAUGUGGUUCAGCUAGGUAGGUACGUAGCUGAUAGAACUGAAGGAAA